CAGCACAGUUUUUACAACAAAUAAAUAAAUCUAUAAAAGUAUUUGGGGCGCGUCUUUUUGGCGGCCUGUGACGUCACCCGCUCGCGGUGUCCAGUUCCCUUCUGCUUCAGUCCGCGUGGAGGAGAGGACAGCGGUUCACGAUCAGCUCUUCCUACAACAAUCAUGUCAUCAGUCAAGUUUCUACUACAGCAAACACAUCUUCAGUGAAGCUCCUCCCCCUGCAAUUCACCAGUAAAUGCUGGAAUAUUCCCAUCAGCAGUGCAGAGCAUCAAAGCAUCAGGAAAAGCGGAACUCUGCAAAGACUGAGUUUAUUAAAGAGGACAGAGAGAAGAUGGGAGAUCCAGAACCCUGCAGAAUUAAACACACUGAAGAUACUGAAGAACAAACAGAAAUUCCACAAAGCUACUGGAAGGAGAUGAUGAAGGGAACACAAGUGAUCCAGAAACCUGCAGAAUGAAAUAGGUGCAGAACAAAGAGUUGUCAUUCUUGGUGUGGACGAACGGGUCAAGUGAUUUCAGAGAGACACAACAAAGAAACACCAUCUAAAGUUGGAAGUUCAUCUUCAAGACCAGCGGUGUGAGGAUUAGAUCAACUCAAAAAUGGUGCUCCAACUGACAAUAUCUAGGUUUUUUAAUCAUGUCAUUCUGUUUUAUUGUAUAAAUUAUGUAAAGAUGCUUUGUUAUUGUCAUGUGUAGUUUGCAAUAAAGUGAAAAGAUGGAUGUAUUUGCAGCAGUAUUACAUUUAUUAAACAGAAACCCUCAAAA